GAUGAACGCUGGCGGCGUGCCUAAUACAUGCAAGUCGAGCGAACAGACGAGGAGCUUGCUCCUCUGACGUUAGCGGCGGACGGGUGAGUAACACGUGGAUAACCUACCUAUAAGACUGGGAUAACUUCGGGAAACCGGAGCUAAUACCGGAUAAUAUAUUGAACCGCAUGGUUCAAUAGUGAAAGACGGUUUUGCUGUCACUUAUAGAUGGACCCGCGCCGCAUUAGCUAGUUGGUAAGGUAACGGCUUACCAAGGCAACGAUGCGUAGCCGACCUGAGAGGGUGAUCGGCCACCCUGGAACUGAGACCCGGUCCAGACUCCUACGGGAGGCAGCAGUAGGGAAUCUUCCGCAAUGGGCGAAAGCCUGACGGAGCAACGCCGCGUGAGUGAUGAAGGUCUUCGGUUCGUAAAACUCUGUUAUUAGGGAAGAACAAAUGUGUAAGUAACUAUGCACGUCUUGACGGUACCUAAUCAGAAAGCCACGGCUAACUACGU
rnacentral:rRNA from 1 species